UGAGAGAGGAAGCACCACAAAUAAUAAAUUACUUUUCCUGCGGAAGGGGAAACGGAACCGUGAGACAGGGAGUCCUUGCCUGAGGUUGCGUAGGAAGUAGAGACCACACUGAUUUACAGGUCGGAGGUCUCCUAACUGGGUUCUACUCUUCUCACCUGCGCCCUCCUCAUCUAGGCCUGUUCAUGUCUCAACAGCCACGCCCCAGACCUCAGUCUAGGUCCUAAGGCCGUCCUAGUGCACGAGUCACAUAUCCCCUGGUCUCAGACGGGCAAACGAGCGCAAAGAGUGACAACGAUGUGGCAGAGAUGGAGUUGAAAGAAGGAGAGCUAGUGGAAAGUAUGUACCAGGAAUAGAUAGAUCCUGAGAUCCUGAGGCUUCCUUACUGACAUGCGGACACAUGGUGGCUGUCAGCUAGGACCUCUGUGGGAACUAUCAGCUGGAACACAUUUACAUAGCCUCUCCCUGUGGCCUGAGCUUCCUCACAGCACAGCAGCUGGGUUUCGAAGUUGAGUAUCCCAAGAAAUAGACUGAUAGAAGCUGCAUGGCCUCUUCUCACUUAGCCUUGGAAGUUACAGAGUGUAACCACAGACGAUGAAGCGUUACUCUUGAGGAUUUAACAAGGAAGGAGAAAGAAAGACCCACAUUUCUGGGUGAAGUCUUUGCCCCUCUAUGUGGAAAAGUGGAUUGCGACUGUUCUCAAGUCUCAGGUAAUUGCACCUGACUUUAGGGUCCAAAAAAAAUUUUUUUUUGUUUUGCCAAGUUGUGCCUUUCCUUCUGGAAUUGUAAGUGAACACAAUAAUAGUACCUGUUUACACGGUGAAGUGGAUAUUGUUACGGAAAACACACCAGAGGCUUUCUCACUUGUUAAGCUAAUAAUGC